rnacentral:lncRNA from 1 species
UUCCGAGGAGAAGGGCAGGCACGGGCAUCGUGGAAGAAUUAGCGUCAUCAGUUGCAGGUGGUCGUUGGGCCUCAGUAGAGAGAGCUGCUCACAGGAGCCAUUUGCAGAUCCUCUCUGGGGAAGAAAACCACCAAGUGGGGCUCCUGGCCCCUGAUAUUCUCCGCCUUCACGCUCUUGUCCCUGUGCUGAGAGUUGCUGUUGUUCAGUCCCUCAGUCGUGUCCGACUCUUUGCGACCCGGUGGCCUGCAGCCUGCCAGGAUCCUCUGUCCAUGGAAUUUCCCAGGUAGGAAUACUGGAGUAGGUUGCCUUUCCCUUCUCCAGUGUCUGUGCUUUUUGCGAGAGUGGGUCUUACAAAAGAUGGCACAAGUCUGGGCAACCUGUUUCUCUGGAAGGCACUAGAUUUAGAUCAAUGUGGAUUUAUGGGAUUAUUCCCCAAAAAAGCAUUACAGAUAUUUGUGGAUUAGGAUUGAAUUUUGAGAACUGUGAAGAUGCUACUAAUACAUUUCCUAAGUCAAAUAAAAUUUUAGUAUGAAUAUGGCCGAUGCAUCUUAGCUCACUUGCUUUUUAUAAAUAGGCAAGUAUCAGUUUGUAUGUCUAUAAUCUCUUUAAUUACAGUUUUCGUCUUGUUAGUGAAAAAUCAGUAUUUAGUUUAUCUUUCUAUUACUUUUAAAAAGUUACCAUAUGCUGGCAUCUGAAUGUUUGUGUCCUCCCCAAAUUCAUCUGUUGAAGUCUUAACACUCAACAUGACAAUACUAGGAGGUAAGACUCUGGGGAGGCGCUGGGGUCAUGAGGGGGGCCCUCGUGGGUGGGAUUAGAGCCCUCGUCGAAGAGAGCCCACAGAGCUGCCUCACCCCUUCCAGCCUGUGAGGACACGGUGAGGAGGCACCAUCUGUGAUCCAGGAACGCGACCUCCCCAGACACCGGAUUGCAGCCCUGUGACGGUCUUAGGCUUGCCGGCCUCCAGAACCAUGAGAUCUGAAUUUCUGUUUGCAGAACAACAGUCUGUGGAUUUUGUUAGAGCACCCAGAGAUGGCUAAGAUGCAGUAGUAGCUGAAAUGUGUCCUGCCUAGGAUGUAGACUCGAUCCCCUUUUAUGAUGUAAAAAAAUGAAAACUGAGUAUGAUAACUAAUCUUACUUAGCCUCUCUUGUGUUUAUCUUUUAUGUAGAUAGGUCUCAUGAUGACAAAAAAGAAAAGAAGAAAGACUCGUGGGUCAACCACGGAGGAUGCUAUGACAUAGUUAGAAAUGGGUAUUUGGUCCCUGCCCCGGCAUCUGGGCACAGAGCUCCUAAAACACUUGGAAUUUCUGGAGUGUUAGGGUAAAACAAGGUAUCUCUGCUUGUUUAUAACUAGCCUCUUUCAGCCACAUCUGAGUUUAUGUCAAUGCAAUGACUUAGAAAA